ensembl:lncRNA
ACAGGACAAAUGUGUCCGUGAUGGAAAGCAGCAGUGUGGAUGCACGGGGCAAUAAAGUCUAUGAUACAUAAAUAAAGCAACCAGCGACUUCCACACACAAAGACGUGACUCUCCAGGUCGUCUUCUACAAAACACGUGACUCCACCUGUUGUUCUGGAGGUGAAUCGCUCUGCAACACACGCAGGACUUUACAACCAGGAAGUGAGACGAGUCCAAACGUUGCAGAAGCAUGUCGCCGCCUUGAGGACGCUUCUUUCUCCUUGUCGGAAGCAGAAGUUGGGGUGGUGUCCAGUAAACAAUGUGACGGCAUCCACCCACUUUGGAUGGAGGACUCGGACCCAGUUUCUCAGCGGAACGUUUCCAUGACGACCCAGAGUUCAGACCAGGAAGCAGAGGCUAACAAACAUCUCCACACAUAAGAGGACGUGACUCCCUCAGGGUGAACAAGGAGACACAAGGGACUUAUCUAGGAAAGCUUCCUGGAAGGAGAGAAUGAAAAUGACAGAUGAGCUGAUGGUAGCAGGAGAUGGAGGAGGACGCGGACACGCAGGGGGAGGAGGAAGAGGAGGAGGAGCAGCUCCUAACUAAACUACAGUAACUUCACUGAGAAGUGCUGGAAGACGGAGGAGGAGAAAGGAAG